rnacentral:rRNA from 1 species
AGAAUCAACGCUGGCGGCGUGCCUAACACAUGCAAGUCGAACGAGAAAGGGUAGCAAUACCUGAGUAAAGUGGCGCACGGGUGAGUAACACGUGACUAACCUACCUUUUAGUGGGGGAUAACCUAGGGAAACCUGGGCUAAUACCGCAUAAUACCUACGGGUCAAAGCAGCAAUGCGCUGGAAGAGGGGGUCGCGGCCGAUUAGCUAGUUGGCGGGGUAAUGGCCCACCAAGGCAGUGAUCGGUAUCCGGCCUGAGAGGGCGCACGGACACACUGGAACUGAAACACGGUCCAGACUCCUACGGGAGGCAGCAGUGGGGAAUUUUGCGCAAUGGGGGAAACCCUGACGCAGCAACGCCGCGUGGAGGAUGAAGACCCUUGGGUCGUAAACUCCUUUCGAUCGGGACAUAAUGACGGUACCGGAAGAGAGCCCGGCUAACUUCGCGCCAGCAGCCGC